rnacentral:rRNA from 1 species
AGCGGCGGACGGGUGAGUAACGCGUGGGAAUGUGGCCCUUUGGUACGGAACAACUGAGGGAAACUUCAGCUAAUACCGUAUGUGCCCUUCGGGGAAAGAUUUAUCGCCAUUGGAGCAGCCCGCGUUGGAUUAGGUAGUUGGUGAGGUAAAGGCUCACCAAGCCUACGAUCCAUAGCUGGUCUGAGAGGAUGAUCAGCCACACUGGGACUGAGACACGGCCCAG